rnacentral:rRNA from 1 species
GACGAACGCUGGCGGCGUGCUUAACACAUGCAAGUCGAACGGAAAGGCCCUGCUUGCAGGGUGCUCGAGUGGCGAACGGGUGAGUAACACGUGGGUGAUCUGCCCCUUACUUUGGGAUAAGCCUGGGAAACUGGGUCUAAUACUGGAUAGGACCAUGCUGUAGGUGGUGUGGUGGAAAGAUUUUUUCGGUAAGGGAUGAGCUCGCGGCCUAUCAGCUUGUUGGGGGGGUAAUGGCCUACCAAGGCGUCGACGGGUAGCCGGCCUGAGAGGGUGGACGGCCACAUUGGGACUGAGAUACGGCCCAGACUCCUACGGGAGGCAGCAGUGGGGAAUAUUGCACAAUGGGCGCAAGCCUGAUGCAGCGACGCCGCGUGGGGGAUGACGGCCUUCGGGUUGUAAACUCCUUUCAGCCAUGACGAAGCCUCUUUUGGGGUGACGGUAGUGGUAGAAGAAGCACCGGCUAACUACGUG